GCCGUCCCCUCGGGGCCGCGGACACGCGGGGCCGCCGCUCGCAGGGGGAGCUGGGCACCGGGCCCUGGUUUAACACCACCCGUGACGAAAGGGAGCCCCGAGGUGUCUCCGGGGUGUGUCUCCGCCCUUGCGCUCGGAUCGGGCCCCGGCGCGGUGCGCGCUCGGCGAGGGAAUCGCCGUCGGGAGCAGAAAAGGUGCCGCGGCUCCGCUGGGGCUGGAAGCGCUUCUCCAUCCUUGGCGUUUUCCCUCGCUCAGUGUUUCUGUCGCGGGUCUCAGCCCGGGUCGCGACGUGGACGGGGACAUCCCGCCGUGGGUCCCCGGGGCUGAGCCGCGGGAGCUGCGGGGGGGUGCGGGAGCCGGGCGGGGGAGGCUCGGGCAGGGCCGAGCCAUCCGUUUGUCCUUCUCUUGUCUGUCUGUCCCGACCGAGAUCGGGGAGCACGGAAGUAGCGUUAGCUCUUCAAGGCGGCUUCGUGUUAUGGCUGUGCUUUCGCGCGGGGACGGGAACACGCGUGGGACAGAGCCGCCGCGACGGGUGGGCGACAGGCGGCGGCCUGGGGGUGCGGGGCCUUGGGGGAAGCUCCGGUAAACCCCAUUUUCACGAGGGGCGAUGCCGGGGCAAGCCGGGAGCUACCCGCGCUUAAAGGCUUGCACGGCCCGAUGCGAUGGCACGGGUGGGGGCUCUGCCCGAAGCACGGCUCGGGUUUGCGUCCCAGCCGGUGUAAGGUGGUCCCGGAAAGCCGGGCUCGUUAAAUCCAGGCGCUGCCCCAGCGGUGGCGGGGGAUUUGGCGGCUCCCUGCAGGUGCGGAGCGCGGAUGCAUCGCCUGCGGCCGCCGCGCCGGGGAUGUGGAUUUCCACGGUGGCGGGACAGGUGACAACAGCGCUGUCACCCCGGCUCGGCUGUGGAAAUGCCCUUGCUCUCCCUUCCACCCACCCACCCGGGGAGGGGGGGAGCUCACGGCUUCGCGGCGCCCAGCUAAAUCCCACCGGCGGGGGCGGGAAGCCGCGGGCUACAGGAAUCGCCCUCCCCAGCAGCUGUGCCUGACGCCCAGAGCCCGUUUCCCCAGCGGGGAAGACCCGCGUGGGGACGCCCACUCCAUCCCUCGGCUCUCCCCGGGCAGCCUCUUCUCCUCGACAGGAGAAAAAACAGCCAAAGCACUUUACACCGUUCGGCAAAAGCUUCGAGCCCCUUCCGUGCCACCGUGCUUUCCCCCAUUUGUUUGCCUGUUGGCUAUUUCAUGCCGAACUAGCACGUAUGACCUUUCCAGCACAACUCCGUCUUGUUUUCGACUCUUUUUAUCAGCCGAUUCAACUUGAAAAUGGUUAUCAUUUAGCAGAAAAACAAACAGAAAAGCACAUUUCUGUAAGCAAAACGUUAAUGAUUGGAAGAAUUGCACCAAUUUCAGCCUGACAGUGUGUGAUUAAACCUCCGGGUCAGGUACUUAUAUUUUUAGUCGUUAAGUUCGUCGGCCUUUGAUAUGCAGAACUGUUUCUAGCCUAAUAGGGUAUCGACCCGGCCGCCUGUGUACUUUGACUCCUCACCCAGCGUGGCUCCCCGGCGCGCGGGGGCCGCAGUGGCCCGGAUCGGGCCCAGCCGCCCGCCCCAUGGGAUGCCGAUGGGGCCGGGGGGCAGCCGCGGGUGGGGGCCCCGUCCCAAAAGCAGCGGCCAGGGUCACGCCUGGAAGCCGUCGGGCACCCCUCGGUUCGCGGAGGCCGCCCACCACGCGUGGGGCCGGGCGAGUCCACCCCCGCGGCCGGGACACGCGUGGGUCAGCCUGCCCACGCUCGCCGAGGGAGCCUCCGGUGCUUCCGCGGGGGGCGGGGGCGGGGGGGGAGGAAAGUGGUUGCGCGAUGUUUGCAACCCUGGACGCUUUAAUCCUUCACACUGAAAUGGGCAGAGCCUCUUUUAUUGCACAAUAAUAGGAAAUAAUAACUUAGGGAUCCUGAUUGUUUGCUUUCACUGAGAAGGACCUUCCUCUGGUCACACCGGAUAAAUGGAGGGUUUAGUGGACAGCCAUAAAUGAUAUUAGGUCCUGAAGAAAUCUGCUAUUAGAGGGAAAAAAAAGUAGACAGACAAAAAAAAAAAAAUCUGUACAUAGGUAUUAUUGUCUUUCAGCUGUGUAUACAUAGAGGUAUAUAUAUAAAAGGUUAAAUUUUAAAGACAUUAUUUUAGCACAUGAAAAAGUUCCAAGAGAGACAGUGCAGGUCUGAGCAUGCGGAUCUGACUCAGAUCAACUUCCCAUUAAUGUUUAAUGGUGGUUCGACUGAGCAAGGACAGAAAGAUUUUGUCCAGGUCUGUAGGUGACAACUGCUUACCAAAGAGCCUUUGCUGACUGCGGGGUCUCUGUCUUAUUCUGAAUCAUGGACUUUGUUGGCUUCAGGCCUCACGAGCAUGGGACAUCUGUCUUCUUCCUAUUUAUUCAAAAGAGGAAAUCAAUGUGUAUUUCUAAAAUAUUUCAGGUGGUACAUGCCAAGGCCAAAAAAUCUUGACACAAUUGUGAAAAAGCCGUAUUGUAAUAACUGGUUCCAUUUCAUGACUCCAUUGUUUGAGGGCUAUUGACAAAUGACUACUAAAACCAGGGAAUCUCAAGCAAGUUCAGACUGCGUUAUUUUGGUCAUUUGGAGUUAUACUGGCAAAUUAUUAUUUGGUGGACUUAUUCAACUGAGUGACUUGUGAAUUUUCCCCUGAAUGUCAGAUACCCACCCAUGUCACAAAGACAUAAUCUAUAAUGGGACCAAUAGAGAUGUAGAUUUUUUUUCUACCAGACUGAUACUCAUCCAUGUCAUUAAGCCUUAAUAAUAAAUAAAGCUAAUAGUAUUUCCCCCCCCCCCCCUUCUUUUUCCAUGCAAAAGGGGCCUGACAUUAAGUGGUCAGAGAAGCUGGGCUCGUGCUUGUUCUUCAAUUGUGGUAGUGGCUUUUCUCCUUUUUUAUAUUUCUUUUUUCUUUCCUGAAAAUAUUGUUUAAGGGGUCAAAGAUGCUAGUACAAUUCUGGGAAACAGUUAUUCUAACUUGUUCACUCUCCAGUCAGUUUGGUAGAAGCAAAACAGUGUAAGGAAAUAUGUUAAUGACUAAGGAUUUAUCUGCUGACUUUGUAGAUGACAAUUAUUACAAUGGGUAUGUGUGCAUGCACACAGGCUAGACAUUUUCAAGUAGCUGUUUAAAGGAGUAGAUUAGAUCGAGGGUUUUGUCUGAGUGCGUUUCAGUAAAAUGAAGUCAAAGUCAAAACCAACCGCUGUCUGGUGGCCUGUAGGAAAUGAGUCGGUGCUCACAGUCGACUGGAAACGCCAAUGCUAAAGACACAUUGAACUUUGCAUUUGUUGGCACAAUUUGGCAAACAAAUUGGGUUAAAAGAUUGAAUGGGCGUGGAAAAAAAGAGCUACCAUCUCAUCAGCCUUAGGGAAAGGGCCAUUUUCAGGAGACCUAAUUCAAUCAAGCUUAUUGAAGGACUAAAAAUCCCAUCUGACAAACAAAAGACCUCAAUACCUUUGACAUGAUUUUAGCAGGCUGAGUUACAGUCAGCCAGGAACUCAGACUACGACCUGUAAAACUGAGCAGAAGAUGACUUUAGUAGACUUUUAGUAGGUUUUGCUUUUGAAAAAAGAGGGCAUGACUGAACUAAAUCUACUGAAAAAGGAUCUUUUUCUCUUGUUGUCUAGACAAGGCCUCCAGGGUUUCCCCGCAUGUCAAUCUAUGCCAUUGCUUUGAAGACCUUUGUGGAGAAAGUUCUUAUUGAUUGCUUCCUAUGCUAUAAUUUUUCUUGGCUGUUGCAGUGGGACUUCCCAUGGGCAUGGCAUGUCAUAUUAGAAAGUAUUCUGUCAUUGUCUAGACUGGUAUAAAAGUUGUAUUUUUAGAAUGACUUAGCAAACACUUUUAAACACCUUUUAGCAUUUGACUUGUCCUAUCUAUGCAAGGUUUCAAAACGUGUUAGUCAAGCUACAUUAGCUAAUAUCUUUAAAAACACAACUUUUAUCCUGGUCUAGACAUACUGAAAGCGAGUACUUGUCCUGGGAUACACCCACAUGAGGGUACAGCUGUUUUAAAAUGAGUCAGGACUGUCCGCCACCAUGCAAUUGUAUCUCAAUGACUUACUGCAGCUAUUAGGAUAAAGAUCACAGGUUAAAAGGGGAAGAAGUAACUUUGCUUUAUACACAUCAGUUCUUCCACUUCCUUCUCUAUAUAAGAAGGAACCCUCUUACCCAGCCAAAAACCUCCUCAUCUAGCACACAGAGUCAAUCAGAGAGCAGUUCAGACCUGUUGCAGACCUAAGGUAUAGAAAGACUCAGUUCUGCAAAAGGCUGGGCUAGUGGCCGUGGUUACUCUCCAGGGACUUGUCCUCCCAGUCAUCACCAGACCCCUUUGGUUUUGCCAGGGGAGCCCUUUCCAAACCUACCUUGAAUGAAAAUAGCCCAAGUUAGUGUAAGCAGUUUCAAGGAUGGUAACACUUUAAAGGUCUGCACUAACUUGGUUCAUUUUGACAGAUGGGUGUUGGAGCUCUGCUGGAGGAAGUUUCACUAAUUGAGUUUAGUUGGUUGGUUCUGGGCUCCUUGGCGAGUAAGACACCGGAUUGAAUUUCGCUCUGAGCAUGUCAGUGCCAGUUAGAUGUGGGCAGGAACUGUGAAUGAGUUGCUCUGGUGGUUGAAAACAAACACAGAACUGCAUAGUUCAGGGUGGGAACAGCUGAGGAGGAGCUGUGCUGCGAGUAGAAGAGGCUUCAGGGGCUCAGAGGCAAAGACAGCAGGAUGGAUGGUGGCCCUGCAGCCCUGUGGCGUUCUGGUGCAGGCAGUGGAGCAAACCAGGAAUUUCUUCUGAAGUUUGUCAAAUGACAAAGAAAUUUCCCAAAUAUUUGUUUUGGGUAAAGUGCAGAGACUGCUGUGGCAGCAGGGACCGGACUGUAGGGCUCCACCCUGGUAAGAUUUUGGGAUAACCUAGCAGCCAGCUCACCCUGCCAGGAGAUGGAUGGGGUCUGCCCUGCCGAGCUAAGCCAUUUCUCUGGCUUUGGCCCUGGAGGCUGACACAGGCAGCAUUGGCUCAGUCACCGAUAUUGUGCCUCGUACAAUAGUGUAUCUUUGGUGCAAUAACAGCCUCCCCUCCCUAAGCAUCUUACCCUGAGUGAAGCAGUCUAAUUUUAUUCAGCGUAGCAGCAGCGAUAGCGGCAGCAGCAGGGAUGGCUGCUCUCGGCAGGCUCUAGCACCUGGAUCUCACCUCUGCGAGCAGGCAGGAGGCGUACAGCGCUUCCCCAAAAUCACACCCCUUUACAGUAACUCUUUUUGGGAAGCUGAGGCUUGAACCCAAACAGAUCACUAGUCACUUUUGAAAAUCUCAGUCAGAACUGCAUGUAGGUAGUCUUCAUGUUGUUCAUGGUUUCCCAUACCGUGGUUCGAGGAGACAAUGCUGACACUGCAAUAGCUGAAUAAAAGACACCCAUUUUCUACCAGUGCUACUCUCAUAAUGAAUAUUGUUCAUGCUUGGCACUGGUUUGCUCCACUAGCUACCUCUCCCCUCCCCAAACCUUUGCGAGGGUCUGGGCGGUCAGGGCGUAUGCACAGGAAGUGCAGGUGGUGAAUAUUAGUAUAUAUUAGAAUAUAUUUUAUGCCUUAAUUAAAAAAAAAAUUUACACUGGAAAGUCACUAAUUUACCUGUUAACUUCUCCACAUUGCGCUGCAGUUUUUCUCCCUUUUUAACCGUUGCCUGAUAUUUUUGCUGUAACAAAAUAUAUGCUACCUGCAGAUGGAAACAAACAUUUUUUGCUAGAGAAUUAUGCCUGUGGGUGACAUGACAGCAGAACUCCUCUGGAUGUACGGUGCGGUGCUUGAUUUCAGAAUCUUUUGCAAGACAGCUGAAGUUCCCUAUGCUUCAAGUAAUAAAUAUCUUAAACUCACAGUUGUGGUUGCGGAGGGCAGUUUAUACUGAUUCAUUAUCAACCACUCCAAAAUGAGAUUGCUGUGUUGUAAUAUAGACUUUGGAAGGCGUUUCCUGACAAAAGUAUUUUAUGUUCUUGUGCUUUUUUUUUUUUAAAUAUGAUAUUUUAGCCUCAUGACUGUCUCCUGAGCUAUCAAUGGCAUGAUUCAUUAACACGACCUGUACAAUCUUAUUUCCUAUGUAUAUAAUCAAUACCUCUAGCACUGCCAACUGAAGCACACAUGAUUAUAUUUUAAAAUACGGCGUAUUAAGUUAUUUGUUGGUUGCACCAGAACAAAUGUAGGAUAAAUAAUGCCAUUAAACAACAAAUGAAUUAAGGCCUUAUUUUCCUUAGUUGCUUACGGAAUCUGCAUUACUACAUACUUUCCAUUAUUUGCAAAUUACACCAGACUGAUUGAAUAAAUGCUUUAAAAUGGGUCCUGAACACUGGUUUAGAAGCACAGAGGAAGUGGUUUCUUAGACAACUGCUACCCGCGUAUUGAUUUGAUAACAGGGAGGUGGAGGGGCGAAGAUGAUUAUGUUGAUGUACGGAGCUGUUGAUUGUUUAAUUGAAGGUAAAAUUUUUAGCUUCACUAGUCAAUUACCUGAUCUCAUUAAGUUCUUAAAAAUCACUAAAAUACCAUUCUGGCUGAAGCAGAUGCACUUUGCUACUAUAAAGCAUUAGGAAAAUCAUUUGCUAAUGGUGAUUUACAAGUGUAAACAUGUGAUAUUUUUAGUAUCCAAAUAAGCUUUCUCCAUGUGAGAGAUCUUGGAUGACUACCAUGCACCAUGUAUGUAAGGGCAGAGAAGGAUAUGAAAUGUGUUUUUAUGUUUGUUUAAAUGAACUGUAAACUUCUAAGUAUUUUAAGGCUUUGUCUAAAUAUUCAAACCUUAUCAACAGAGUAGAGGGUGGAAGAAGAAAAUCAGAAUUUCUUGACAGUAAAGUUGUUCCAAAUAUAAAUAAUAUAAGAAGUUGUUCAGUGCCUGGCACAAACCAGAGGUUUGUUUUAAGGAUCAAUGUAAGCAAGUCAGCUCUUGACAUCCCUAUGGGGGAAGAAGCCCAGUGCUGUGAAGAUGCCAGAGACACCAACAUGGCAGGACAAGGUAAUGGUGCUCUGGAGACUCCGGAGCAGCAAGGAUGACUCGUUCUGUGCCUGACCCCGAUACUUUGACAGUUGAUGACAGAGUGCUUUGCAUAGCACCUCCCAGAUUCUAUAUGCCACAGUGCGCACGGUACUGACAUAGGCACUGCUAGUAAUGUGUGGCAUUUUAUGUAUUUCCGAACAUCACAUGAACAAGUUCUUCCAGGUUAACGCAUUUUCAUUUUGCACGAUGACUGUCCCAGAAAAGGUAGGUGAUUACUCAACGGUUAUACAGUAAUGUGAGAAGCCCUUUCCAAAACCUCUGUGGCAAGAGUUCUGCUUCCUUGUGUACUUUUGUUUGUUUGUUUUGUUUUUAGAUCAGUUCAUAGAAAGACAGCUGGUUUCCCUGCAGAAGGAGUCUGGGAUUAAUUUCUUCAUUCUUGCAAGCAAUGUGACUUCAGUCACAAGAACCUGAUGAACUCUCAUAAGGAGCUAGACACGUCUUCCUCUCAGUGCAAAGAUGUAACAAGAGGUUAUGAAUCAAGUUCCAGAAUGAGAGCGAAAGGAACAAUUGCCCUUUUUUUUUUUUUGUGUAUUCCUUUUCCUUUCUUCGCGGACAGCAGGGCUUCCCAGGUUCCGGGGUUAUUCCCACUGAUGGCUGUUUCUGGUCCUGUGCCAAUCCGUGUACCGCUUACACUCUCUUUGGAGUCAAAGACGACUGUCAAAAUAUAAAGAAGGAACAAAAUCACACAGCACUGAUGAAGAAAGGUGCCAGUUCCCCAACCUCAGAGCACACGCCUCCAAACCUCUCAGGAGAUAUAAUUAUUAACUUCCAAUAGUUACCUAUUGUAACUUUAACUUCCCAUACAUCAGUAGCUCCCAACCUACCUGUAUGCCUGUUACUUAGGUUUUUAGGUACCUGAAUCGAAGUGCAAGGCAAAUGAAACUGUUAGUGUUGCAUUUUGAAGUUAUGUAAAUUGGCAACCGGAUUCUCCACAAGGCAUUGAUAUAAACUACUAGAUCAACCCCAAAUUCUAGGGCAUUCACAGGGAGCCUUAAUGUUAUGGUAGGUGCCAGAGGGUAUUCUAUGUUGCAACACAAACAGUGGUGUGAAAAAGACAAACCCCACUUUUCAGUCAGACAACAUAAAUUUAGGCCUUUCAGACUGCAAAACUACUCAGGGUGUGGGUGGGUUUUUUCCCCCCCAUUUUUUUUUAGACUGGCUAUUGCCUUUUUUAGGUUGUCUCAGUCCUGCACUGCUCUGUAUUGGCUGUGGAACUGGGCAGAAAGAAUAGGAGCUGUGUAGAGCUACUCUGUGACUCACGUGUGCUGUCAAGGCAGACAAAUCUGUUAUGCCAGUGUUAUUGUGAUCAACCUGUCUGUCCAAAAUGGUACUGAAACCUUUCUCAGGUUUAAAUAGCACAAACCCAUUUUCGGAAUGGGUAGAGCCAGUGUAACUUGGUUUACCGUUGCAGUUUCUGGAAUGGUAGCAAAUUCAGCUGUGAUUUGUUUACAGGAACAAUUAAACCAUUUUAAAUGCUGAUUCAAAGGAAUUUCUUGGUGAUAGCUGCUAUCAACAGUGGGUUGACUUCCUACGUGGUAAGCAGGCUAGGAGAGCCGACCUGGUGGAAAUGAGAGCCUGGGAGCUCUCCUCUGAGCAGAGCCCCGUACGAUAGGAAGUCCUGCAGAGAGAAGCUCUGGGAAUAGCCAGCUCAGGAAAGUGCCCAGGGCCAAGUAUUUGCAGAACUGUUCUGAACUAUGAUUCUGCUUAAGGUCUUUGCGGUUUUGAGAUAAGAAACUGAGGAAACUGAAUAAAAGCAACUACCCACCAAAAGUGAGUUGUAUAAGAAUAUCACUUCUGUGUGCAAUCUCCUCCCCCUUACAGACCUGUGCACUGGAGGAGGCUGCCUCGCUGCUCUUGGUAGACAACUUUUGAAGUUUUUUACUGGCAUUGAAGUUCAUGCAGCUUCUUAAAUUCCAGUUGUCUCCUAACCUGCACCCUGAAGGACACAUGCUGAUACAUGGCUAUAUAUUUACAAGAAUCCAUCCCAGAACAGAAUUGUGGAGAAGAAUCAGGGUGUAAUUUUCUUGAAUAUAAUAAGUAUUUAAUUCUGCAGUCCAUCUUUUAAAGCUCUCCUUAGUUGCUUUUUUAUUUUUCCCCUCCCUUCCCUCCGUGCCCCUCCUCCCCCUUGUCUUCUGUGUUUAUUUUCAGUGAUUUUUCACUUUAUUUUCAGAGUAUGAAGAAGUAUUUCUCUGCUAGCAUGAGCUAUACCCAAUCCUUGCACUCAAUAUUGAUUUAUGUGGCAGACUUAGCUAGGAGUGUCAGCCUAGAAAGACAUUUUUCCUAAUCAAUAACUCAACACACUUCCUAAAAUGAAGGUGGUAGGUGAUUACUUACUUUGUGUCUUUCAUUCUUUUUUCAUUUGAGCUGAGCUCAUGCUGUAUUAAUACAGCACUGGGUUGCAUUUAAGCUUUCUAAAACAUAUUCUUUAGAAAAGGAGCAAUUACAGUGCAGUGUAUUUUGAAACUACUAGAGUCUGAAGUCAUAGAUAAAACACACUUCUGCCUUCCAAGAAUCGUCUAAAGCAUAAUGCUGGGCAUAUAAUGCCUAACGAAUGAAGAUAGUUCAGUGAUUCACGAGGAUUUGUCUCAUUCUAUUUCUAGAUACGAGUAGGUUAUUAAGUAGCCUAUAAAUAUAUAUACAUUUAAAAGCAGAAUUUCCUCAUGCCCAUUAAGAUCAGUAAUAUCUGAUACAAAAACACUGAAGUGUUUUGUUUUAUCUCAGCAGUAAUCUUUUCUCUAGCUAGGUACAUCUUAUUCCCAAGAUAAUAAACUUUCUGACAAACCUUUUCAUAUGAUCACUCAUAAAUAUUAAGGCUUUUAAUAGUCAUAUCAUUCAAUGCUUAUAUUGCCUGGCCAGCAUUUACUGUGAAUCUAUUAAUGUCCUGCUUUUAAUUCCUAAUGAUACUAAAAUUAAAUUAGCUAUGUGCUCUCUUACAACGUCUGUCUCCAGAUCUAGAAGACUGUUUAUACAAGCAAUCAGGGAAGUUAGCUGUUCACUGGCAGGGCAAGUGUCUGCAAAUAGUCUCUGCAAUAACAUAUUAGCCACUGCAAAUGGAGGAAUAUGAAUUAAGCAUAUAGAUUUUGCACUUGUUUCCCUUCUGCCUCCCCCCUUUCCUUGGCAUGUUUGCUAAUACAUUUGUAAUGUUAGAAAUGGCUCCGAAUGUUGAGCAUUAAUUAGGUGUGGGAACUGGAGCAUAAAAUAACAUCUACAUUUUAUCCUUUUUAAUCAAGAGGAAAUGCUCUAAUGUUGGAUUUAGAUUUAAUGCAAAACUAAAUAUUUGACUCACUAUAUAUUAUGUCAGUAGAUUAGCUGGUAUUUAUCACAGUUUUCAAAACUAGGGCUUUAAUGCCUCAUUUGACAUGAUUUUGUCAGUCCCUGGCAGAAAGCUGAUAAACCGUCCAUUACAGCUGCCUCUUGUAGCACUGUGCUGCUACGGAGAGGGGUCAGCUGUCGUUUCCUUAAAACCUUUGGUUUUGGUCAUUUUAUAAUAGGUUGAUCUUAAAAUUCAUUUGGGUGUAUUAUGGUAGAUAAAUUCCAGACUAUAAACCUGGUUCUGAUGGUACAAAAAUAGCUUUAAUUGACUGAGUGGCCAAAAGCUAUCUAACUACUGCACUCUUUCUGUCUAGGUAGCUGAAGCUGGAGUUAAAAGUACUGCUGGACUGCCAUUUCUUCCCUUCUUUCCAGUUUCUUCUCCUUUGGGAUUUUUUUUUCCUUUGCUUGGGCUUUGCUUUCCUUUUUUUUUUUUUUUUUUUUUUGUUGUGAACAGGUAGCAUGAAAAAAGGUUUUCAACACAAAAAGGCAAAGCUGAAAUGGACCAAAUUAUAUGGCCUCUGCUGACCAGAAGCAGAUACUGUAUCAUGGACCCACUGAUGGGGCUGCAGCACUGCUGGGAUAGCUGUGACAGCCUGGGGAGUUAAAAAAGAGCUGGGCUUUUCUGUUUCUCCUGUGCUACCUUUCACUUCAUCAGGCUCUGCUUACAGAAUGAGAGCUUUACUAGUUUUGUCAAAAUUGAUAAAAUAGUAAUAAAAAGACAAAUGCAAUCCCAGCAAGAAGUGCCACUCUGACGUGCAGUGUCUGGUCCCUCACCCAUACUGGCAGGUGAAUGGCUUCCUGCAGGACUGGCUGAAGCUCUGUUGGAUAGUUAGUGAGUUAGUUGCACAACAGACUCCAUGUUCAGUGUAGUAACUCCGUUACAAAUAUGAUAUGUGUGUCUCUCUAGGAAGUAUUGCACAUUUUAACAAUUCUCUAAAUGAAACAAAUUGCAGAAUUUCAAGUCAAACCUGAACUUUGCCCUGUCUCCAGAAGUACCAGGACGAUCAAGACACUGACUUGAAAAGAGCACAACUCAUCCUGCCCAUUCUUCCUCUUUUUUUUUUUCAGUUGAUCCCAUUGAAGCCAAUAUCAGCAUCUGCAUGAGUAAAACAAGCAUUUACCUUUGG